rnacentral:rRNA from 1 species
GAUGAACGCUAGCGGCAGGCUUAACACAUGCAAGUCGAGGGGUAUAGUAGCAAUACUAGAGACCGGCGCACGGGUGCGUAACGCGUAUGCAAUCUACCUUUCACAGAGGGAUAGCCCAGAGAAAUUUGGAUUAAUACCUCAUAGUAUAUAGACCUGGCAUCAGGAUUAUAUUAAAGUCACAACGGUGAAAGAUGAGCAUGCGUCCCAUUAGCUAGUUGGUAUGGUAACGGCAUACCAAGGCGACGAUGGGUAGGGGUCCUGAGAGGGAGAUCCCCCACACUGGUACUGAGACACGGACCAGACUCCUACGGGAGGCAG